CACCCCCCUCACCUUAAAAAUCCCGAGAGCUUCUCUCCUCAUUUUCCAAAAAACGUUCUUUUCUUCUUACAGUAGCCCACACCCCUCUCAACCUCAUCUCUUCCUUCCCCAAAAAUUUAAUCUUUCGAUCUCUCACUCAUAUCCUUCCAUGAUUCCGAAAUUUGCAAAAUUUUUCAUCUUUGGAUUUUUCCAAGCACGAGGAGGUGACGGGAAAAAGGGGAAAAACACUACGCGUUUUCUAGAUUUUUCUGUUUGAUCUCUUUAAGGUUCUGUGGAAAAUACAGUGCUUGACCUUCCUAACAACGGUAAAAGUCAGUGAUGCGUUAUUUAGAUACCCAGUAGUGGAGUAACCGAUUUCCUGGGAUUUGCUGACACACCUAGGAACAUGAUCAUCUUUUUGGUUAUGUUGUAUAGGAUAGGCUGGCCAGAUUAAGAAAGUCAUAGUCUGUGCGCCGGUCAUGUCCCAAGAGUGGGCCGUGACACUAAUCCUUACUAUUUGAUGAUGAACAGAUAAAGUAACUUGAUUGGAAAAUAAGCAUUAUUUAUGGAAUAGCAGGAGGCCUAUUAUACCUUCAUGAGGACUCUUGGCUCAGAGUAAAUCAUAGAGAUCUCAAAGCUAGCAAUGUUCUAUUAGACCAUGAGAUGAGUCCCAAAAUAUCAGAUUUUGGAUUAGCGAGGGCAUUUGAAAAUGGAAAAAGACCAGGCAAAUACAAAACGAUUAAUGGGCACUUUGCUUGGAACAUGUGGUGUGCAGGAAAAUGUUUUGAGUUGAUGGAUCCACUGGAAAAAUCCUUCAUGGCCAAUGAAGUUGUGAAGUCCUUACACAUUGGUUUGUUGUGUGUUCAGCAAGAUGCGAUAGUUAGACCGACUAUCUCCACCGUUGUUCUAAUGCUAGGAAGUGACACAAUCUCCCUUCCAAAACCCAACCAUCCUGCAUUUUCUGUUGGAACAAUGAACUCAAAUAAUGAAGAAUUUAGUUUUAGAAGUUCGAAGAAUAUUUCCAUUAACAAUGUAACAAUAUCUACCAUUUUGCCAAGGGAAUAGGGAUUAUUUUUAGUUCUUGAGGAGAAUGUAUUCAUUAAAUUAAAAUCCUAACACUUGUCUGGUAUGGUAAAAAAAUUUCCUUCUUAUGUUAAUGUUUUAAAGAUGAGUAGAAAAACUGAAAUUAAGAAUAUUAUCUGACA